CACAACAUUCAACCUGAUCAACAUCCUCAGGAUUCCAGCAUCACCAGUCAACAGUUCUGUACAGCUGACACAGAUGAAGAGCAAAUAAACAGUAACCAAGACAGAGCUGCCACAGUACAACCGGAUCUGACAACACAGGCCACUGCCUUUGUGAUAAAUGCACGGGCCAAACAUCGCCUAUCACAGAAAGGCAUGAAUGAUAUUGUUGCUGGUGUGCAGCAGUACCAAUCAUCGCUGGUGAGCAACCUCAGGAGCCAGAUAGAGCAGGUGUUAAAGAAGCAUUCAGGAACCACAUCAGGACUCCUUCAAAAUGAAGUAAUGGAUGUCUUCAACAGUUUUGUUGACCCAUUCACGAGUGUUGCAACAACAUUUCGACAGAACA